UACGUAGGGGGCAAGCGUUGUCCGGAAUCAUUGGGCGUAAAGAGCGUGUAGGCGGUUCGGUAAGUCGGCUGUGAAAGUCCAGGGCUCAACCCUGGGAUGCCGGUCGAUACUGCCGGACUAGAGUCCGGAAGAGGCGAGUGGAAUUCCCGGUGUAGCGGUGAAAUGCGCAGAUAUCGGGAGGAACACCAAUUGCGAAGGCAGCUCGCUGGGACGUUACUGACGCUGAGACGCGAAAGCGUGGGGAGCGAACAGG
rnacentral:rRNA from 1 species